rnacentral:rRNA from 1 species
UACAGAGGGUGCUAGCGUUAAUCGGAAUUACUGGGCGUAAAGCGCACGUAGGCGGCUUGGUAUGUCGGGUGUGAAAUCCCCGGGCUCAACCUGGGAACUGCAUCCGAAACUGCCUUGCUAGAGUAUGGGAGAGGGAAGUGGAAUUUCCGGUGUAGCGGUGAAAUGCGUAGAUAUCGGAAGGAACAUCAGUGGCGAAGGCGACUUCCUGGACCAAUACUGACGCUCAGGUGCGAAAGCGUGGGGAGCAAACAGG